AACCUGUGUCCAUCACACAAUAUCUGACAAUAAAUAAAGCUUUACAGUGGCAACGGGCUAUGGUCACCCUAGCCUUGAUGAAUGGAAGCUGAAGUAGGCAGGGCAUCACUGACCAGAGUGACCUUUAAUCUGAGCAGUGCUGGGCUGUAUUUUAUGAGGCUGCCAGCUCUACCUGCUCAGGAAUGCAAAUAGUCUGAUUCUUCAAACUGCCAAUUACAAAGCUGCAGCACAGCAUAUAAAGAAUGCAAACCUAUUUCAGAUGUUGUGGCAGACGGCUGGGGAGCCUGCGCAGCCGGGAUGCCUGGAAGGUGGAAGGACCGGGAGAGGUACAAUACCUCCCCCAGGACACGAGAGGGUGGUCACCCUGGUUUGCAUUGCCAGGGGAUGCCCAGAUGUUCCAGGAGACAUGGACUGCAAUACUUCCGCCACAACAGGAAGUGCUGCCAAAAGAGGAAGCAGGUACACCCGGGGUGCUUCUGUGUGCCGAUGCAGCACUUCCGCCACACCAGGAAAUGCUGCAGGAAGGUCAUCACCAAGCACC